AUUCAAUUAGUCACUCUGUGUCCAAGGUGUGCCUUUCACAAUGUUUUAUACACACACGCCAGUAGAUUCAAUUAGCCACUGUGUGUCCAAGGUGUGCCUUUCACAAUGUUUUAUACACACACGCCAGUAGAUUCAAUUAGCCACUGUGUGUCCAAGGUGUGCCUUUCACAAUGUUUUAUACACACACGCCAGUAGAUUCAAUUAGCCACUGUGUGUCCAAGGUGUGCCUUUCACAAUGUUUUAUACACACACGCCAGUAGAUUCAAUUAGCCACUGUGUGUCCAAGGUGUGCCUUUCACAAUGUUUUAUACACACACGCCAGUAGAUUCAAUUAGCCACUGUGUGUCCAAGGUGUGCCUUUCACAAUGUUUUAUACACACACGCCAGUAGAUUCAAUUAGCCACUGUGUGUCCAAGGUGUGCCUUUCACAAUGUUUUAUACACACACGCCAGUAGAUUCAAUUAGCCACUGUGUGUCCAAGGUGUGCCUUUCACAAUGUUUUAUACACACACGCCAGUAGAUUCAAUUAGCCACUGUGUGUCCAAGGUGUGCCUUUCACAAUGUUUUAUACACACACGCCAGUAGAUUCAAUUAGCCACUGUGUGUCCAAGGUGUGCCUUUCACAAUGUUUUAUACACACCCACCAGUAGAUU